CCCUCUGCCUGCUGCUUGCCCUGCAUGUGCUCUCUCUCUCUGACGAAUAAAUAAAAUCUUUAAAAAACAACAACAAUGAAAACAGUGAUGGGCAUUUUUUAGAUACAUUUUUUAGUUGUUUCAGUUUGUGAAUUACCUUAUUUCCCACACCUAAAGCAUUGAAGUAAACCAAAAGGUGAAUUUAAAUCAUUGAUUAUCUUGGGGGUAGAGGGGGAGAUAUAUUUUGUUAAGUAAUAUUAAGUAAUUAGUGGUAAUUGAAAAGAAAGUUUUUUUUUUUUAAAGAUUUUAUUUUGAAGUAAUCUCUGCACCCAAUGAGGGGCUCAAACUCACAACGCUGAGAUCAGAAGUCUUAUGCUCUACUGACAGGUCCAGCCAGGUGCCCCGAAAACAUGAAGUUUUUUUAAUGUUUGGAUUUUAUUUUUAUUUUAUUUAUUUUAAAGAUAUUAUUUGAGAGAGAGAGAGAGAGAGAGAGAGCAUGAGUAGGGGGGAGGGGCAGAGGGAGAGGUGGAAGCGGACUUGCCACCGAGCAGAGAGCCUAAGGCAGGGGUUUAUCCCAGGACUUCGGGAUCACCUGGAAUCAUGAGAGCAGACGUUUAACCACCUGAGCCACCCAUGUGCCCUAAAUGUUUGGAUUUUAAAACUACAUACUGAUUUAAUGAGACAAGUUAUACAUGUGAAAUACUUGAAAAAGAUUGAGAAAGCUCUUUCCAUAAAAUAUUUGUCAAUAGCUGGUUAAUGUUUGGUGAAGGCCAACUAUUUUAGCUGCUGCUAGAACUAUUCAGGAAGGUAACCGAAGUGCUCUUACCCUGUGUGGGCAGUGGGUGACUAAGCACAUGUUUGAGGCCUCAGGAACAGCGGGGGCACGUUGCGAGAUGUGUAGUUAAGUGCCGAGUGCUUGUGUGGUGCACGUGUGAAGUUCUCCAGUAAUUCAGAGAGUGAAGGAGAUGAGUGACGAGUAGCCUUGACAGUGAAAGAGGAUUUUGGCGAAUGGAGUGGAAGUAGGAGGGCAUUCUGUGUGGGGAAACAGAAUGAGGAGGGCUUAGAUUUCACAUUAACCAGGUUUUGGCUUUUGGAGUGACCUUACUUUCUAUGAAUCCCCUGAUUGCUACCACUGAACUUGGAGCAGGCCUUUUAUCUCCUUCAUUACUCACUUCAUUCCUAUCUUAGUUAGGAUGCUUUUGAUAACAAAUAAAAAAAGAAAGGCUGACUCUUAACUGGCUUGCACCAUACACUAGGGACAUAGUGGUUCAUGGAACUAGAAAUCCCAGAGGGAGGCCAGGCUUCAGGGCUGGUCUGCUGAGUCAGUCCAGUGCUGUCUUUGAGGACCUGGUUUCUUCUCACUUCUGUUGUGUCAGCAUUUUCCUAAGGCUAGUUCUCCAAAUGACACCAUGGUCAUAGCAGAUGCAGGCUUCACAGUUGGUGUCCAGCCUACACCACAUCAACCAGAACAAGAGAGUGCAUGUGUGUUCCAGAGUUCUUGACUGUGUCCUGGGGUUUGUGCCCUUUGGGUCACCCUUGAACCAAGCACUGUGGGCAAGGGGUGUGGUGUGCCAAGUCAGGCUCCAUCUAGAGCUGGGAGUGCGUGUGUGUCAGCCUUCUGAGCUGGGGGACCACUCACUAGCAGGGAGGAGGAAAAUGAACUUUCAGAGGAUGGCUGCAAAGUUCAUUACCGUCCCAUCCGGGAACACCAUUUCUUCCCACUCUCCUUUUCCAGGUUUGUCAGUUCCUCCUUCUUCUGGACUCCUCUGAGUGAAGACUCUGCCCUUUUUUCUUGGCAAGUCAUCCAGCACAGUCCGAUGGCAUCCUACUGUAUUUCAGUCUUAAUUAAAUUUUAUUGUACCUUAACUAUGCAUGUAUUCUUUUUGGGUAGCCCCAAGCCCCAGGUUCUAAUCCUGGCUCUCCCAUCUUCUGUUCCUGGGAUCUUGGGCAGUUAGUUCGCUGAACUUGAAGUUUUUUCAUCUUAACACACAGUCAACAGAUAUUUACUAGAUUCUAAGUAUUGUACUUAAGCACUUAAGUGGUUGGGAUCCAGAACUGAAAGACACAAGGAGAUCACAAUUCAUUUACAGAGACAUACAGGUAAAUGAGAAAUUACCAUGAGAUGUGAUGUUGCUUUGACAGAAAUAAGGAAUUGGGAAGACUUCCCUGAGGAGGGGUGCCUGUGUUGACCCUUGACAGGCAAGUGGUGGUCACAGCAGCGAGGGAGGAAGGAGCUGCUUGCAUGAAGGCUUCAGGGCAAGAGAAUAACUGGGGUCUUCGCUGCACAACAAGGCGAGGCUGGAUUAUUUAGGCGGGGAUGGCCCUUAUUCCAAGCUAAAGGGCUUAGAUUCCAUCUCUUUAUACUGUACAGUUAUACAUCCUGGUUUACACCUGUUGUCCCGGGAUAACUAAUGUGAUUCUUUCAUACUGAACUGUGCUUCCAGUUGGGGUGAUAAAUGGUCACCUGACUUAAAGUGGGAGUUGAGAGCCAUGUGGUGGCAGUGUACAGGAAGCAGUGCUUACCUUAGAGUAGGACCUGGGAUCACAUAGCAAUAUAGCAGGACUUCUCAAACCUCAACUACAGAAAGAGUCAGCUGGGGAUCUUUUUGAUGGCACAUUUGGCUGCUGUAGGUGUGAGGUGGGGCUUGAGAGCUGCAUAAACUCUUGAGUUAUGCUAUUGUUACUGGCAUGGGGACCACCCUUUGAGUAGCAGGGUAGGAUAGGACAUUAGGAGUGUCAAAGGGUCCCUAAAGUCCCUGGAAUCAUACACAAAAAUGUGGGUGUGUGCAUUCUUCAGGAAGUGGUCCUAAUUUGCUUACAUCAGAUUCUCAGGGGCUCUGCAACCACCCCAAAACAGUUAAAAUCACUGCCUUUUAGAAAUAAUGUAAUCAUGAAAUGACAUAUAUACACGAAAUGCCUUUAAGGCAGUGCCUGACUCAGGAGAGUAAUCCAGAAUGCUUUAGGUAUCUGUCUUCCAUCCCUCCCACUCCUCUUCCCCUGGCCAAGUUCUUUGAGGCAGGAAACAUUGCUUAAACAUUUAAAAUAACUUUUUAAUGUUUUGUAUACUAUCAGUGCUCGGCAAAAAUCUGUGUAGUUUGGUGACAAACUGUUUCAGGACUGUUAGCCAUCCUGACCGCAUUUGAAGGUCCUCUUUGUGUGUCAGGUAUUUUACUGGGUGUUGAGAGACUGCCAUUGGAUGUCAUGGGUAGCCAGGCUUGAGGUAGGCUCAUCAGGGCGUGAGUUGGAUAGUAACAGGAACGGCAGGAUUGAAGAGGAGAUGAAUCAUAUUUUUCUAAUCUUAUUAUUGAGGUGUAAUGUAUGUUCAGAAAGGUGCUGCUCCUGCCUUUGAUGCAUUGAGACAUUGUUCUCUGGGUCUCCGUUGUGUGGGAUAUCGGUAGGCAUCAGUUAGAAGGCUGCUCGUACUUCAUGGAGUUGCCUUGUUCAAGCUGUACUUGUAGAGCUUUCUGAACAUUUUGGUAUUUUGUUGAUUUGGUAUUUGGUAUUUUGUUGAUUGUCCCAGAAAUUUGGGAUGGAAAGAGUACCUAAUUUAAGAUAAUCUUCAAAGUUUCUCAUCUAGGAGGCUAGCAGAACAAUGAAGUAUGCCAUUGGCAUAAGUGUAGAAGCUGGUUUUGAGAAAAUAAUGGGCCUUUUGAAUUUAAGGUUAAACAUAAAAGAGGAAGUGCUGUGGGGCUGGCAGCCUGGAAAAUGGAACUGCAGUAUGAUGGCGCAGUCCACAUGGAAGAUGUGAAUUUGGACUUUACCAACACAGUUGAUGCUCGGAGAGCAGGAGAGCUUCUUGUGGGGGAUCUUGAGGGACCAGCCGAAAUGAGAGGAGGGGAGUGGUGGGAGGCAGAGUCCAGUCUUACAGGGUAUGGGAGCCACUGGUAGAUAGAGUGUAUGUGAGAGCUCUUGAUGUUAACAGAUUGAUGCUUGAUGGAAAGACACACUAGCUGGAGGGCGUAAAAGGAUGCUGGAUUGGAUGGGAGGUUAUUUCUGAAAAAGAGUGUUGGGGGUGUUAGAUUUCAGUUAGUUAAGAGCAAAUGGGAAAUGAGCUCAGUUAUAAAAGAACUGUCUUUGUGGAAAAGACAUGACUAAAAAGUUGGAAGGGGGCAGGUACCAGGCUGGUUGAGUGGGUUGAGCGUCUGACUCUUGGUUUUUGCUCAGGUCGUGUUCUUGGGUUCACGAGAUGGAGUCCCACAUAGGGCUCUGCACUCAGGGAGGAGUCUGCUUGAGAUUCUUUCCCCCUCCCUCUCCCUCCCUUUGUUCACACACACUCUCUCUCUCUAAAAUAAAUUAAAUUUUUUAAAAGUUGCAUGGGAGUGGAAUUUUUUUUGUCAAAUUAUUUCAGUUGCAUGAUAGUUUUUCUUCUGAUUGACAUUUAGCCUUGUUGUCUUUAAGUUGUUAGUGAUCGAUAAACCCUUAAAAACACUAAAAGAGUUCUCAUUUUAUUUUGUUAUUUUAUUAUUUUAAGAUUUUGUUUAUUUAUGAGAGCACAUGCAUGUGAGCUUGAGUGUGGAGAGGGGCAGAGGGAGAGGGAGAAGCAGACUCUCUGCUGAGCAAGGAGCCUGAUGCAGGGCAGGACCCUGGAAUCAAACCCAAGCCAGAGGCAGACACUUAAUCAACUGAGCCACCCAGGUGCCCCAAGAGUUCCCAUUUUAAAAACAUCUGUCCUGGAUGUUGUUCAUCAAGCAGUAGGUCAUCUUAUAAAGUGAAUAAUCAUUUCAAAUUGUUUCAUAGUUGCUUCUGUCUGGUUUGGGGGCAUAACUGAGUGGCAAAGUAGCUCUGCUCACCUUCCCUCCUGUUAUCUGCUUAGUUUCUCCCACCCUUCAAUGUGUUUAGUGGUAGAGCUUUUUCGUAGGUUACGGGAACACCCCUGCACAGUGAUUCUGAACCCUAACUGCACAUCAGAAUUACACAGGAAGUGUUAAAAAUGUUGAGUGAAGUCUUGGCACCCCUUACCCCCAUUGAACCCCGAUUUUUUGCAGCUAAGACCUGAGGAUCCUCAGGUGAUUCUAGGGGAUAGCCUGGGCUGAGAAUCACUGCCAUCGGCCUUUAACCUGCAUAGCUCACCCUGCUUCCCUGCUAGGUGAGCCCCACCAGUGUUUGAUUUUCUGCUUCUGUAUGGGAAACAGUACUGUGAGCUAAUUGGGUAAAAUACCUCUUUUCUAGGAUACUGAAGUUUUGAGCUGUACAUAUUUACCGUAAAGGGGACUUUCUGAAGUCUCAGGUUUUAUUUUCUCUAAUAAAAGAUUUUUAGGGGCCCCUGGGUGACACAGUCGGUUAAAUGUCCGACUCUUGGUGUUGGCUCAGGUCGUGAUCUCAGGGUUGUGAGGUCAAGCCCCAUGUCAGGCUCCACGCUUAGCUCAGAGUCUCCUUGAGGUUCUCUCUCCCUUUCCCACUUGUGUGUGCUUGCUCGCUUGCUCUCUCUCUCUCUCAAAUAAAUAAAUCUUAAAAGAUUUUUAAUCAUAACAGUGAACUUAAAUACAUAAUUCAGGAAUGAAGUUCAGUCUGUUGUUUUCGCUGGUAAAGGAAACUAUUUCUGCAUAGUUGCAGUCUUCGUUUUCAGCAGAUCAUUAGGUAGAAGUAAAGCUGAAAAAGCAAGCAGUGGACUCUGCUGGCCUUAGCUGUCAGCACUGUAUUUGUUGUGUUCUUUUAUUUUCAGCAGGUCGAAAUUUAGCAGCUUUUAUUGCUUGGACCAACUCUUCUAAGUAACUUUGAUUUUCAUUAACAACCAAAGCAACUCAUUAAGGGGAACACGGGGAACUUUUGAGAGCCAUAGAAAGGGUUGAAGGUAUCUUCCUCCCUCUGGAUGUAUGGGAUACAGACAGGGGUGUAAGUUGGGCAGCCCUAGAUCUUGCGAGGUAUUUAAGAAACCAUGGGCAAUGGCCAGCAAAUUGAAGAAAGUCAUUUAUGUAGUAACACUGCUUUUUUCCAGAUGUGUUUAAACUUGAAGCUCUGGUUCAGCGAUGCACUUUUCUUUCUGGCAGGUGGCCUUCAGUAGCCCAGCUUCUGUUGGUUUGGUUCCAGCAUAUUUCAUUAAGUGAAAAAUCCUGUAGAACAGACGCACUUACAAGUUUCUGCGCAUGUAGCUCUCUGUUUAAUGAGACACGUGAGGUUUGACUCAGUGUUCCUGGCAGUAAUUGUCUGUGUGUGGUGUGGUGUUUGGGUAGGGGGUCCGGGUAUCUAGGCACUUACAAAGGCUGAGCCGGGCCAGAACAGUCUGAGGCCGUGAUUGGGGAACUACAAGAGUGGACACCCUUACGGUGACAACAGGCAGGAAAAUACAGGUGUCCUGCAUAAUAUGGUGGGUGGUGGUGGGUGCUACCAGUAAGUGUUUGGACCAAUGAACAUGAGAUCUUUAAAAAAAUCCUAGUGCGUGGAUGUCUACAAACAGAGUACUUAAGAAUACUCCUUAUGUAAAUGAAAGAUUUAUGCUGUGGUCCUUGGUCUUCAAGAGCUGUUUUUAUAAUACAGCUGCCUCAUCCACCUUAUUUGUAGGUGUGCAUUGAUUGUGCAUGGAUUUUAAAAAAUCAACCAUUUUGAGGUAUGAUUUAAUACAAUAAGUGUGCUCAAAAUUUUCGGUUUUCAGUUUGAGCUUUGAUAAAUACAUGCCAAGGUAACUACUACCACAGUCAGUCUGUUGCCCUGGAAGUUCCCUCAUGCCCCUUUGCCGUGGAUCUCUAUCCUGUACUGAGGCAGGUCUUGAUCUGCUGUCCCUCGAGGCUCUUCCCCUUUUCUAGAAUUUUGUUGAGGCAGAAUUAUUUGGCGUGUACUCUUCUUUCUGGCUUCUCUCACUCUGCAGAACGUUCUGAGAUUCGUCCAUACUGUAGGAAUCCUCUCCCUUUCAGUGUGGAGUGGUAUUUCAUCAUACGGCCGUACUACAGUUUCUUCACCUCUUGAUGAACAUUUGUUGUUCUCGUGUUUGUAAUGAUUGAAGCUGUGGUCUGCACUCCUGUGCAAGUCUUUGGUGGACAUAGGUUUUCACUUCUUGUGGGUCAACUAUCUGGAAGUGGAAUUGUUGGGUCACAUGGUGUGCGUGUUUUAUUUUAUAGAAAGCUGCCGAGUUUCUCCACAGUGUCUGUGUUGUUUGACACCUGCACCAACAAUCAACGAGAGUUCCCCUUCUGUAUCCUCCCAGCACUUGGUAUUGUCAGUCUUGCUAAUUUUAUUGUGCAUCAAUUUAAAAGGGAAGAAUUUUUUUGUCCACAAGAACAAGAGUCCACGUUGAUGACAGAAAAGUGAAUCUGAGUGCAGAUAGGUGGUUCUUAGUGAAAUAUGUUUAAAAAAAAAAAGUUUGAACCAAAAAGAGAGGGGGACAGUAAAGACUGGGAGAGGGCCCUCUUCACACUGUACAUAGGAGACUUAUUUGGUAGGCAAGGAUAGUAGGGGUAGGGAAUGAAACUGGAUUUUUAGAAGGUUGACCUGCCCUGAUACUUUUUGAUCACAUCUGUCGUUUGUUUUACCCUUUUUUCCCCUUCUGGAUUUAAAAUGUGAAAGUUGAUUUUUCUUUAGUUUGGGAGACCCCAUAGUAAUUGUGCAUGAUUUUCCUCUGGGUCAAAAUACAUGCUCUGAAUAAGUUUUCUGUAAAGCUUAAUUGAAAUUGUCUUAUGUUUAAAUGUUACAUUUAAAAAUUAAAGGUUAUAUAUUUAAAGAUUAUAUUGAAAAGUGAAAAUUGUGCUUCUGGCUGGAACAUCUCUGAUCUUAAAAACAGGAGAAUAAAAACCAGUCAGGGCAGUCCAGGUGAUUUGACAGCACUGACAUGUGGGAAGUUCCCGAUGUGGAGGCUGGAGAGGUUAUCAUUCCUUAUCCCUAGAACUUACAUUUGCUGUAGGGUUUUCUCUUCAUCUUCCUUUUCCUGAGUUCACUGUUCAGCAAGGCUUUUUUGAGCACCUACUACAUGCCAAGUACUUACUGCAUUAGCUGCUGGCAAUACAAAGAUGAAUUCGACUUGGUUCCUGUUCUUUAGAAACAAAAACCAAAAAACAACUUUAUGGAGACAUAAUAUAUCUGUACUGAAUUUCACCCUUUUAAAGUAUAUAUGACGAAUCUUAACAAAUGCACAUGUUUGUGUAAUCACCUCCACAGGUAAGAUACCUUUCAACCCUUUCUCUGGCUCCCAGAACUUCUGCUUGUGCCCCCUGCAGCCAGCCUAUCUUCUCAUUCACCCUGGGCCCCAGCAAAGACAGUGUCAUCUCCACGUGUUCCCAAACCACCCACACCACUUUGUGGAGUUGAAAGUGUGCUGUGACCGACUGUUCAAUAGACAGCAGUUAACAUCCAUCAAGUAAGAGGCAUGAUCAGUAAAGACCCAGGAAGAAAACAUGCCUCAAGAAAAUAAUCUAAUGAUCCUGUCCAACCUUCCAGUUCUCAUCCUUAUAUGUCUUCUCCACAUUCUGAAAUAAAAUAGGGGUCCUUCUUCGUAAGAGAAGAUAAAAUGGAUGUUUUUGCUAUUUAUAUUAAAUUAAGCACCAGGAAUCCAGUUUAGCGACUCUUAUUACCUGCAUUGGACUUCACAGCUGCAGUAUCAGCAGUUUCUUGGGCCCUUCUGCUUUGUUUACAACUCUUGUAUCUCUUGAAUUCAUUUUCUGGAAUUCUUAAGCACCCCUCCCCCAA